AGGGAAAGAGGGAGGCAUGCUUUACACAUGCAAGUCGAACGGCAGCGCGGGCUUCGGCCUGGCGGCGAGUGGCGAACGGGUGAGUAAUGCAUCGGAACGUGCCCAGUAGUGGGGGAUAGCCCGGCGAAAGCCGGAUUAAUACCGCAUACGACCUGAGGGUGAAAGCGGGGGACCGAAAGGCCUCGCGCUAUUGGAGCGGCCGAUGUCGGAUUAGCUAGUUGGUGGGGUAAAGGCUUACCAAGGCGACGAUCCGUAGCUGGUCUGAGAGGACGACCAGCCACACUGGGACUGAGACACGGCCCAGACUCCUACGGGAGGCAGCAGUGGGGAAUUUUGGACAAUGGGGGCAACCCUGAUCCAGCCAUGCCGCGUGCGGGAAGAAGGCCCCCGGGUUGUAAACCGCUUUUGUUCGGGAAGAAAUCCUCUGGGCUAAUACCCCGGGGGGAUGACGGUACCGGAAGAAUAAGCACCGGCUAACUACGUG
rnacentral:rRNA from 1 species